GCAAGUGCAAGCAGAUAUGCUCUAUGGCAGAGAUCUUCAGGCAGCAACGAAGCACUUGACGACUCUGUGCUGAAGCAGGCAGGGGCUUGUGAAAAGUGAGCAAAGAGCAUUGCCCGUGAAGGACUCGUCUGGAAGAAUUGUUCCAGGACGGUUUCUGUGCACAGGGGAGGUUGUGUGUGCAGGAGCCUGCUCGCUCUGAGCCUGCGUUCGGUGGCAUGUGUCGGGAUUUUCACCUAGAGAAUGAGGCCGUCCCCUCUCCCCUCCUGGAUUGCCAUAUCCCUUCCGCGCUGCUCUGCCAAACUCCAGACAGAGAGGCCAUAGCACGGUGCCAGUCUGCCAUGAGCAGGCGCCAAAGCGUUACCACUUUGUGUUAAACCAUUGCGCUGGAAGGAAAAGUAGAAGCCUCAGACCUUAAAACUAGGGGUGUAAAGGUCGUCCUCUGGGCAACCACAUGGGAAGGUCUCAAUAGUCUUUGGAAGGCAAGGCAUGAGUUGCUGUAAAGGGACAGAACUGGCAUCAUGAGGAUGAGUGGCAGAAACACCUCUGUGAGGACGACUGAAGCUGCUCUCGCAUCAAAGAGAGGUCAGGACUCACCCUUAGAAAUAUCGAGCGUAACCUCCGCCAUUCGGAAAAGGUGCAGGUGUUCAUAAAGCGCACACCAGUACACGCCGGAGUCCGGUGCCUGCACGUCCUCCAUGGUGAUGGUGACAAUCCCCCGCUGGCUGUCGUCCUGGAUCGUGACUCUGCCUUGCUGGGGUGCCCUGAGGUACCCUGAAGGCUUAGAAAUCGUGUUGACCAUGGCAGUACAUGCUGGCUGAGCUCCCUCUUUGCACCAGGCUUUGUUCAGAGCCCCAUAGUGCUGGGCGCUGUACUGGCACUGGACAGAGACAUUGCCUGACUCCUUGGCUGUGUAUUGUUGGAGCCCUGGAAAAGAGCCGGCACGCCUGGUGAGAUGCCAAUGCAGGCCCAGCAGCACCCCUUUGCCAGCCCUGGAAUAGGUGCUGUGGGCUGAGCGGUCCCUGGGUGUCCUUCUCCCUCCAGAGACGAGGAGCAGAAGGGGGCUGGAGGCAGAUUCCUGGCGCAGAGGUUGCUGUGUUCUUGAUCAUUGCUGCAGUAGCUGAAAACUUGUUAGAUGGGCCAGACAAGCCAAACCACAGAGCUGGGAGAUGUGCAUUGACUCCCUGGUAUGGACACACUUGCAAGAUGUCAUAAUGAAAACCAGGAGACUGACAGAUCAAAAGAAGCUCCCUGAUUCUGAAUGAGACCCACCUGGGGAAACUUUGUUCAUGGAGAACCUCAGGACAGGAAAGUUAGGAAGUUCAUUGAGCUGCCAUUUACAUAAACCGAAGCACCUGCUGAAUGUUAAGACAGAGCCAGUGCCUUCAAGGAAACUACCUGACACUGUAUUGGCAGGAGUUCUCUGUCUGUCCAGCUUUCAGUUCCUGUUUUCAUGCUAAAGCUGCAACACCAGUUACCUCAAAGUUCAAGGGCCUGCAUCGCAGGUUGCUCAUUUUCGGCGGUGCAAGAGCAGACCCUUGUCCUCUGGCUGCGCUGCAGAGACCCCAAGGAUAUUGGAUGACAGAACAUCGCCUGUGCUGGCUCCAGGCUCUCACCCACCCUGACGUUGUUCUUGCCAUUGGAAAGCAGUGCCUGCUAUCGAUAACUCCCUGAUUGAUGGUUGGGUAAACUCACCUUGUUUACCAAUGCGGGUGUCAUACUGACAACAAACAGGUCUCUACCUGAGUGUGUCAUAAGCGAGGGAGGACGGUAAAUAAGAAAUGACACGUAAUGCUGCAAAGCCUGGGGCUGCUGGAAACAAGGGAACAGAUUCCUGCUCUGCGUGGCACGUUGCAGCAGAAGCAAAUCGAAGGCUCGGUCAUCUCCUUGGAAAACACCGGAGAAAAUAACAUAAAGUGCUCGAAAAAAAAGGAGAAAGAAUGUUUUACCCUGUCACUAGAUUGCAGGGUCUUUGGUGCAGGGACCGCCUUUAUCCAGAGUUUGCCCAGCACACAGGGACGCUGCGGCAGGGCUGCCGAGCCAGCUCCGCGUGGGCACGAUGCACGCGGCCAGACGGCGCUGCCCUGGGGCAGAGGCACCUGGUGCAAACCCCCCUUGGAGCAGUCCCCGUGCCGUAGCUGCUGGCACAUGGACAGUGACCUGGGACACCCAAGCCGGCUGGCCAAGGCCCCCCCUAUACCUGGGCUGUGGCGGGAGCCCGGAUCGUGCCUCACCGCAUCCCCUCCUGCGCUGCAUCCAACCAGCGCUAAUUGCAGACGUGCCAGAAUCUCCUAAUUACACUGCUGUGGGUGCCAGGCAAACCCACGGCCUUGGUGAAACUAGCCUGGGCUUCAGCAGAAAGCCCACCAAAGUCUGCAGAAAAAGCCUCACUGAAGCCGCUAUCCUGGACAUACACAGGUACAAGUGAGGAUGGAGAAAGCCGCUUCUCCUGCCAUCUGCCCCGGCCAAGGUGCUGGGAGCCAGCGUGCAGGCCGCCAGCAAUGCUUCCCCCGCUCCCCAGGCAUCUCCGAGCACAUCCCGCCGCAUCCAGCCGUCCUGCCCCAACGCCCCCAGCCCCCCCCACCGGCAGGACCCCGGGGAACAGCCCUGUGCCCCCACAUGAUGCUUUUCUCCCUGCACGGUGUGGGCUGUUCUGCUGCUUGCAGAGGGGGCAGGAGGAGCAGGGGCUCCCAGGCAUGAAACCAUCCCUGGGGCGAUCCCUGGCUGACACAGCCAGGUCUCAGGAGGCCUCAGCUCUGCCCGUUGCAGACCAGCUUGACAAACCCUCCCAACCUGUGUUUGGACCUCUGGAUUUGGUUGAAACCUGGAGCAGUCACUGCAAAGCCCUGGGCGAGAGGCAAAAGGCUCCAGUUAAAAUCAAGGUGUGAUUUCUCAGCACUGUGCUCUUCCCACUAAGUGGUUCAGCUCCUCCAAACGCACUUUCAAUCUGUCUUCUCCCAUUUCUUCUUCUCCUGUUGCAGUCAGAAGCAGCAGAUCAGCCUUACUUGAAGCAGGACCAUCUAAUAUUUAAACUCAGGUCCAAUUCUUCCCAUUUACUUCCCAAGUGUCCUUGCGCACGCCAUUUCCCUCCGCCUCAGGUUCCCCACCUGUGAAAUAGGGCUGAAAACACACCGAGACAGUAUAAAGUGCCCCAGGCUGAACAGACAUCCUCGCUGUUCUGGCGGUAACUCUGAAGUCUCUCAUUUUUUGCCAGUGGUUUAAUGAAACCUGCUCUGCGAACCGAUCGGCGUGACGGCGGCGUGCCCCGUGGAGGUGCUGAGCCGUCUGUCACGGGCGCCGCUGAGAGCUGCUAGAAAUAUAUCAUCCCAGAGAGCCCCACACCGAUUGCUGGGAUGAAAAAUUUCAUGGGAAUAAUGUACGCCACGGGAUAGCAACGUGGGAUGCUGGAGCCACAGACCAGCAAUGCUGAGCGUGACACUAACAAGGACGAAACUUUUCAUUCACCCCUCCCUGCCCGGUCCCCUCCGCCCGUGCCGCACACGCACGCACGCACGCACCCACAUACGGAGUUUCUGGGUUUAUUUUAUAUUUUCCCUCGUAAAGAUUUGUGUCCGAGCUGCUCUCGUAUCAAAGCCAGCAGUGGCCCCUAGGAUAAACAUGCGGUCAGAAGACAGAAAACUCCAGGCUAAAACACUAUUCGUUUCACCCAUAGCAGCAUAAACUGAGAGGCUUUUAAGAAGGGCGAAUGGUUUUCAGUAAAUCUCUCAUAUCAG